rnacentral:rRNA from 1 species
GGAAUUUUGGACAAUGGGCGCAAGCCUGAUCCAGCAAUGCCGCGUGAGUGAAGAAGGCCUUCGGGUUGUAAAGCUCUUUUGUCAGGGAAGAAACGGUGGUCUCUAAUAUAGAUUGCUAAUGACGGUACCUGAAGAAUAAGCACCGGCUAACUACGUGCCAGCAGCCGCGGUAAUACGUAGGGUGCAAGCGUUAAUCGGAAUUACUGGGCGUAAAGCGUGCGCAGGCGGUUUUGUAAGACUGUCGUGAAAUCCCCGGGCUCAACCUGGGAAUGGCGAUGGUGACUGCAAGGCUAGAGUUUGGCAGAGGGGGGUAGAAUUCCACGUGUAGCAGUGAAAUGCGUAGAUAUGUGGAGGAACACCGAUGGCGAAGGCAGCCCCCUGGGUCAAAACUGACGCUCAUGCACGAAAGCGUGGGGAGCAAACAGGAUUAGAUACCCCAG